rnacentral:rRNA from 1 species
GCUUGUCUCAAAGAUUAAGCCAUGCAUGUCUAAGUACAAGCCUCAGUAAGGUGAAACCGCGAAUGGCUCAUUAUAUCAGUUAUAGUUUAUUUGAUAAUUGAAAAUUACAUGGAUAACCGUGGUAAUUCUAGAGCUAAUACAUGCUAUCAAGCCCGACUUCUUGAAGGGUUGUAUUUAUUAGACUUAAGCCAAUAUUCCUUGUGUCUAUUGCGAUGAUUCAUAAUAACUGAUCGAAUCUCAAAUUUGAGAUAAAUCAUUCAAGUUUCUGCCCUAUCAGCUUUCGAUGGUAGUGUAUUGGACUACCAUGGCAGUAACGGGUAACGAAGAAUUAGGGUUCGAUUUCGGAGAGGGAGCAUGAGAAACGGCUACCACAUCUAAGGAAGGCAGCAGG